CAGUCGCCGCGGUAAUACGUAGGUGGCAAGCGUUGUCCGGAAUUAUUGGGCGUAAGGGGCUCGCAGGCGGUUUCUUAAGUCUGAUGUGAAAGCCCCCGGCUCAACCGGGGAGGGUCAUUGGAAACUGGGAAACUUGAGUGCAGAAGAGGAGAGUGGAAUUCCACGUGUAGCGGUGAAAUGCGUAGAGAUGUGGAGGAACACCAGUGGCGAAGGCGACUCUCUGGUCUGUAACUGACGCUGAGGAGCGAAAGCGUGGGGAGCGAACAGGAUUAGAUACCCCCGUAGUCCCUGUCUCUUAUAC
rnacentral:rRNA from 1 species